AAUGAACGCUGGCGGCGGGCCUAACACAUGCAAGUCGAGCGGACGAAGGGAGCUUGCUCCUGGCUUCAGCGGCGGGCGGGCGGGUAAUGCACAGGAAUAUAACCGGCAUUGGGGGCUGACGUAAGUAAGGGAGCGCUAAUAUCGCAUACGAUAAGAGGGUGAACCGGGGGGUUCAUAGGACAAAAACGGUUUUGCUGAGACUAGGAUGGAUUAGCUAGUUGGUUAGGUAAAGGCCUACCAAGGCGACGAUCCGUAGCUGGCCUGAGAGGAUGAUCAGCCACACUGGAACUGAGACACGGUCCAGACUCCUACGGGAGGCAGCAGUGGGGAAUAUUGGGCAAUGGGCGAAAGCCUGAUGCAGCCAUGCCGCGUGUGUGAAGAAGGUCUUCGGAUUGUAAAGCUCUUUUAGUUGGGAGGAACAGCUGUAAGUUUAAACGUUGCUAUUUUGACGUUACCAACAGAAAAAGCACCGGCUAACUACGUG
rnacentral:rRNA from 1 species